rnacentral:rRNA from 1 species
CCUACGGGGGGCAGCAGUGAGGAAUAUUGGUCAAUGGGCGCAAGCCUGAACCAGCCAAGUCGCGUGAGGGAAGACGGCCCUACGGGUUGUAAACCUCUUUUGCCGGGGAGCAAGCCUGAGCACGUGUGCCCAGGCGGAGAGUACCCGGAGAAAAAGCAUCGGCUAACUCCGUGCCAGCAGCCGCGGUAAUACGGAGGAUGCGAGCGUUAUCCGGAUUUAUUGGGUUUAAAGGGUGCGUAGGCGGGCAUUUAAGCCGGCGGUCAAAUGUCGGGGCUCAACCCCGGCCUGCCGUCGGAACUGGGUGCCUUGAGUGGGCGAGAAGUAUGCGGAAUGCGUGGUGUAGCGGUGAAAUGCAUAGAUAUCACGCAGAACCCCGAUUGCGAAGGCAGCAUACCGGCGCCCUACUGACGCUGAGGCACGAAAGUGCGGGUAUCGAACAGGAUUAGAUACCCCGGUAGUC